UACGGAGGGGGCUAGCGUUGUUCGGAAUUACUGGGCGUAAAGCGCGCGUAGGCGGACCUGCAAGUCGGGGGUGAAAGCCCGAGGCUCAACCUCGGAACUGCCUUCGAUACUGCGGGUCUCGAGUCCGGGAGAGGUGAGUGGAAUUCCUAGUGUAGAGGUGAAAUUCGUAGAUAUUAGGAAGAACACCAGUGGCGAAGGCGAGUCCCUGGACAACACCUGACACUGAGGCACGAAAGCUAGGGGAGCAAACAGG
rnacentral:rRNA from 1 species